AACGAACGCUGGCGGCAGGCCUAACACAUGCAAGUCGAACGCCGUAGCAAUACGGAGUGGCAGACGGGUGAGUAACGCGUGGGAACAUACCCCUCGGUUCGGAAUAACUCAGGGAAACUUGAGCUAAUACCGGAUACGUCCGAGGUCUUAAUCGGCCUUGGAGAAAGAUUUAUCGCCGGAGGAUUGGCCCGCGUCUGAUUAGCUUGUUGGUGAGGUAAUGGCUCACCAAGGCGACGAUCAGUAGCUGGUCUGAGAGGAUGAUCAGCCACAUUGGGACUGAGACACGGCCCAAACUCCUACGGGAGGCAGCAGUGGGGAAUAUUGGACAAUGGGCGAAAGCCUGAUCCAGCCAUGCCGCGUGAGUGAUGAAGGCCU
rnacentral:rRNA from 1 species